GGAGGGGAGUGAAAGAGAACCUGAAACCAUAUGCUUACAAGAAGUUAGAGCCCGUUAAAGGGUGAUAGCGUGCCUUUUGUAGAAUGAACCGGCGAGUUACGAUAUGGAGCGAGGUUAAGCAGGAUAUGCGGAGCCGAAGCGAAAGCGAGUCUUAACAGGGCGCAAGUUGCAUGUCGUAGACCCGAAACCGAGUGAUCUAGCCAUGACCAGGUUGAAGUUGGGGUAAAACCCGAUGGAGGACCGAACCGACCCCCGUUGAAACGUUGGCGGAUGAGUUGUGGCUAGGGGUGAAAUUCCAAUCGAACUCGGAGAUAGCUGGUUCUCCCCGAAAUAGCUUUAGGGCUAGCGUUGUGUUAGUUUACCGGAGGUAGAGCACUGAAUUGGCUAAGGGGCGAUGAGCUUACUGAACCUUAUCAAACUUCGAAUGCCGGAUAAAUGGUGCACAGCAGUCAGACAGUGUGAGAUAAGUUUCAUUGUCAAGAGGGAAACAGCCCAGACCCACAGCUAAGGUCCCAAAUGAACGCUAAGUGGAAAACGAUGUGGGGUUGCAGAAACAACCAGGAUGUUGGCUUAGAGGCAGCCACUCAUUAAAAGAGUGCGUAAUAGCUCACUGGUCGAGUGACCCUGCGCGGAAAAUAUAACGGGGCUAAGCGUCCAACCGAAGCUUGGGAUGUCUAAGGACAUGGUAGGGGAGCGUCGUGUAUAGGGAGAAGCAUGAGCGAGAGCACAUGUGGACAGUACACGAGUGAGAAUGCCGGAAUGAGUAGCGAGAAUUAUGUGGGAAUCAUAAUGGCCGAAAAUCUAAGGUUUCUUGGGGAAGGUUCGUCCGCCCAAGGUAAGCCGGGAGCUAAGGCGAGGCCGAAAGGCGUAGUCGAUGCACAUACGGUUGAAAUUCCGUAGCCGCCGAAAUUGUUAAGCACAGGGACACAUAGAGAUAUCCGAACCCGGGCGUUGGUCGACCCGGGCGCAAGGGACCGAACAUCAGUAGGGAAGUCGGAGAUGCUCUGUGGCGAGAAAAGCUGUGUGUAUUGAUUAGGCGCCCGUACCGCAAACCGACACAGGUAGAUGAGGAGAGAAUCCUAAGGCCAACGGGAGAAGGGUUGUUAAGGAACUCGGCAAAUUGACCCCGUAACUUCGGGAUAAGGGGAGCCUCCUACGGGAGGCCGCAGUGAAUAGGCCCAAGCAACUGUUUACCAAAAACACAGGUCUCUGCUAAAUCGAAAGAUGACGUAUAGGGGCUGACGCCUGCCCGGUGCUGGAAGGUUAAGAGGAGAUGUUAGCCGCAAGGCGAAGCAUUGAAUCGAAGCCCCAGUAAACGGCGGCCGUAACUAUAACGGUCCUAAGGUAGCGAAAUUCCUUGUCAGGUAAGUUCUGACCCGCACGAAUGGCGUAAUGAUUUGGGCACUGUCUCAACAGCCCGCCCGGCGAAAUUGUAGUACUGGUGAAGAUGCCAGUUACCCGCAACUAGACGGAAAGACCCCAUGGAGCUUUACUGUAGCCUAAUACUGAAGAUCGGUAAUGCAUGUACAGGAUAGGUGGGAGCCAGCGAAACCCGGGCGUCAGCUUGGAUGGAGGCAACCUUGGAAUACCACCCUUGUAUUGCUGGUUUUCUAACCUGCGGCCAUGAAUCUGGUCGGGGGACACUGUUAGGUGGGCAGUUUGACUGGGGCGGUCGCCUCCAAAAGCGUAACGGAGGCGCUCAAAGGUUGGCUCAGCACGGACGGAAAUCGUGCAUAGAGUGCAAACGCAUAAGCCAACUUGACUGCGAGACCGACGGGUCGAGCAGGUACGAAAGUAGGAGUUAGUGAUCCGGUGGUAUGUGAGUGGAAAUGCCAUCGCUCAACGGAUAAAAGCUACCCUGGGGAUAACAGGCUGAUCUCCCCCAAGCGU
rnacentral:rRNA from 1 species